CUCGGCUCAGAGCUGUGCUAGCAGAUGUGGUCUCUUCUGCCGUGGGGUGCUGGGUUCGUGGCAGGCUUAUGAAGUGACCUCAUGUAAUCAAUGGGAAAUAGAGAGAUGGGAGGUGUUAUGUUAUUUGAAGCUUCAGACUGGCCCUUAUUCCUAGAAGGCACUUGGAGGUCAGCAGCAGUGUAGUGAUAUGCAAUUCCAGGGUCAGCACCACAGAAUGAAAGUGAAACGAAUAAUACAUGCUGAUUUAAAGUAAAAUGUGUACCUCCUGAGAGAAAAUGGUGACAUUUAAAUUCUUGCAACCCAGGCAGAAAUCUUUUAUUCAGUGAAUGGCUCUGACCAGCAAAGUUUGCAAAUGAGAACUUCUUUAACAUUCGUGUGGCAUGGUCUAACGCCAAUUAAUUGUUUAUGGAGCACCUGCCAUGUGCUCAGGCUGGUUGUAGAGAGGAGCUGGUUUCAGAAAUAGCAUCAAAAAUGGCCUCUGUGACUUUGCCAGAAUACUGAGGGCUGAAUCCAAGCCUGUUAGAUCAUGUUUCUUCUGAAUCCCGCACUUCCCCUGACUGCGGCUUACAGGUUGUAUGGACCAUAAAGUGAGCUGACCUCACAAAGGGAUAGAAAGAAGUGAUGUGAGGUUGCUGAAUGACUUAAAAAAAGCGCCUCCUAUGGCUGAACCAACAGAAGCCAGGUGAUGGGGGAGCCUUUGAUGCAGACAUGGAGUACUGUUCUCUCAGCACUCUGUCUUACAGGUGACCCUCAAACAAGGCAACAUGACAGUUACCACAGACUCCUCUCAUCCAUCAUGAGAACACUGUGAUAGAAUUGUCUCUUAGGGACGCGGAGGACAGGCUCUGAAAGAGUAUGUACAAAGCCCUAUAAAGCAUAUGGAAGAUUUCAGUAAAGUAUUUUUUAAUAAAUAACACUUGAAUAAGUAUGUUUUUUUAAAA
rnacentral:lncRNA from 13 species